rnacentral:lncRNA from 1 species
AAAAGGAUCACAGAUGCUGCUCGGGGCCAGCCCUAUAAUCCCUCCAGUGCCUGGUCUCCCGUGGACCCGCGGGGCUCUGCAGUUCUCUGGCGGCCGCGCCUUGUAAGCGCUAAGCCGGGAGGAGGGCGCAGGCAGGGCGCACAGCUCUGAGCGCGACCCUACCCGGCUCGGGCCCGCAGCAGCCCCGAUUGUCCGAGAGCCUCUCCGAAAGCAAGGCUCUGCGCCGCCCUCUGAGCCCACCUCCUGGCCACAACGCUGCCUGCGCUUCUCCAGCCCAGGCCGGAAGCCCUAUGCUGCCUCCAGAAGCCGACUCAAGGACUGGGGACUUGGUGGAUCUAUGGCAUUGGUACCCACAGAGGUCACCUGCACAGAUAAAUCUGUCGCCACCCUUCAACCCUGGCCUACCGGAUCUGCGGGGAGAAAUGCAGCAUUUGAAUUGGGGAGUGUUCAGUCCUGCUCUGCGGGGCAUUUAUUUACAAAUAUCAGCUGCAACCCAGCCUUGAUAACGUCUCAUACAGUCAGAGGACUUUGCGGGAAGCACACUUCCUCCUUGUUUGGGGCUACAGGGAAAGCCCAGGAAAGCGAGUCCCAGAAGGCCUGGGACAGCUACACCCAGUUCACCCAAGCUCAACCCGGAACAGCCGACCCAAACGGUCAGGAAGGUUUGUCCUGGGGGCAACGCCUCUUCCGGGCUCUAGGACAUUGGAAGACAGAGAGAUUGCUGGGUAGCGGGUGGUCUGGGCCUCCCCGCAAGCUGCAAACGAAGGAGCUUGGUGCAGACCGCCAGGGAGGGCGCAGGGGAGCGCAGUACUCAGGCGGAGAGGCCUCGAAGCCCAUCAGGGACUCCGAUUACUUUCCUUUGAACAACAACAACAACAACAAAAACAACAACAACAACAACUGCUCCCUCCCCCUUAUAUCCCCUCCCUUUUUUAGCCUCCGGGCACCAGGCUUCCAAGUAAUUGUCCUUCAGGACAGUAAACACAGCUCAGUUGCCUCAACUUUCCUGGUGCAUAAAAGUUCCCGGCGUGAGGGGAAAUUUGAAUAUUUGAUCAGCCCCUUUGAGUGACCCUCAUUAGCCUGGCGCCCUGCUAAGGCCCCACCAUUGCAAAAAAGCUGCUGGGCCCGGCAUUUGUACGCCUUGUUAGCGCUGCUUAAUGAAGCCGCCCCGACGGCUCAAAGGCGGCCUCUGGGGCCGGCAGCGCGCACCUCUCGGCACCCCGCUCUGCCUAAUGAGCCCAGCCGCCCGCUAAAGGCCCUUCCACCCCCCACAUCCUCAAACAAGAGGGGUUUGGCUCCGUCUAGGACCUGAACACCUCCCACCACCGGGCCCAAGAGGGUGGGCACAAACCCAGUCUAGCUGGCUACACAGUGAUCUAGCCCCUGGAGAAAGAAGCCAGCUACUUGGAGUAUGCAAGCUAAAAAUGGUUGUGUGAGUGGGAAAGUAGGGAAGUGGAUUUUACAGCCACUAGGUCUAGCUCACCCGUGGGUACCACGAACUUUCCCCCACAGGGCCAGCUGUAAAUCAAUUAACCAGCCCAGCUCCUUAAAGGUGCAUCUGGACUAGUGUUAGAGCGUCAGAAGGGCUGGUACACAGGGGAGGGUCAGCUUUCCACUCCCCCCUCAAAUUCCUUUGCUCUGGUCUCCCCAGGAGGCCUGGCACUUCUCCCCAGGUGGCCUCACACUUUCUGGAAGGUCAACCUUCCAGGCAACUAGAACUCUAGGCCUGUAUUUGAGAAAGGAUGGGCAGGUUCAGCUCCCCCAGACCGCUGCGGCUCACACCCCUCGGAGAAUGACUUCCAGUUUCACACAGUCCCAUCCCUGGUCUCUCUUCCAUUGCGUUUAUAGCCAUGGAGAGGUCUGAAGAAGUUAGCCCAGGAAAGACCACGCUCCUUAGGCAAGACUGGGACCCCAAACAAACCUGGACGAGAGGAGGAAAAUCCUAGGAAAAGGGAGUGGAGCCAGCCACCCACUAGGACAAGCAUCUACUCCUUCUCUCCUCUUCUUGGGCCAAGGAACACGGCUAACUAGUUAAUAUAAGAGACCAUUAGAAACUGCACUUCACUCCUCAGGAAGAGUUGACAUCUCUCACUGCCCUCUCGCCUCCAUUGUUCUUUCUCCUGGACAGUUGGAACUCAAGGUCCCCUUUCACUCCCUUCUUGAGUACCCCUAGCACUUGCUGGGUUGGAGGAGCAGGGAACUCUCGGUUCUCCACUCAGGACUUUCUGGAAGCCCAUCUUCGUAUGCUCACCAGCCCACCCUCCUACGCUGGUCAGAGUGAGAUUGCUAAUCUCAAGACCCCAUUCAAUGCCAGCUUUCAACUACUGCUGAAGACCAAUGUAGGUCCUGGAAUAGAAGAACUGCAGAGUGGGGCUGCGUAGAGGAUUCGGCAGUUUCUCGGCCACAAGGACAGAGUUUCCUAAGAAGGGAAAGAAGAGUGCGGGCAGAGAGGAGAGGUCCGAGGGGGAAAAAGAGAGGCCUGAGGACGCUCUGGCGGCUCCAGUACCAAGCCUUGGUAUCUUUGGGAUUCUGGGGAGAGUGGAAGGGUUUACAAACUACACACAAAUCGGUGAACUUGAACCACUGUGUAUCCCGAUUUUGCAUUGAGCCGGGCCCUGCGCACCCGGAAUGCUGAAGCGGCCAAGGGCAGAGAGGGGUGUAGUUGCAACUCGUGGUUUCUUCGGUUAAACAAACCCGUAGCCUCAGCAACAACAACAAAAACUGCAAGUGCAGGAAGCAAAAUUAAACAUAAUUCCUUUUAUUUAUCUGUUGCAUUUAUAUCAUUAAAAUAUUUUUGGUUACGUUGUAUAGAAUAGCAUCCACUCUGAUUAUUACCUGCCAUAUCGGCUGUAUUCAACACAGCAAAAUUAACAAUUAAGAAAAUAAAGGCACAUCUUAUAUAU